UACGUAGGGGGCAAGCGUUGUCCGGAUUUAUUGGGCGUAAAGAGCGUGUAGGCGGCCGUACAGGUCAGCUGUGAAAACUCGAGGCUCAACCUCGAGACGCCGGUGGAAACUGCAAAGCUAGAGUCCGGAAGAGGAGAGUGGAAUUCCUGGUGUAGCGGUGAAAUGCGCAGAUAUCAGGAGGAACACCGGUGGUGUAGACGGCUUUCUGGACCGUAACUGACGCUGAGACACGAAAGCGUGGGUAGCAAACAGG
rnacentral:rRNA from 1 species